CUAAUACAUGCAAGUCGAGCGGACAGAUGGGAGCUUGCUCCCUGAUGUUAGCGGCGGACGGGUGAGUAACACGUGGGUAACCUGCCUGUAAGACUGGGAUAACUCCGGGAAACCGGGGCUAAUACCGGAUGGUUGUCUGAACCGCAUGGUUCAGACAUAAAAGGUGGCUUCGGCUACCACUUACAGAUGGACCCGCGGCGCAUUAGCUAGUUGGUGAGGUAACGGCUCACCAAGGCGACGAUGCGUAGCCGACCUGAGAGGGUGAUCGGCCACACUGGGACUGAGACACGGCCCAGACUCCUACGGGAGGCAGCAGUAGGGAAUCUUCCGCAAUGGACGAAAGUCUGACGGAGCAACGCCGCGUGAGUGAUGAAGGUUUUCGGAUCGUAAAGCUCUGUUGUUAGGGAAGAACAAGUGCCGUUCAAAUAGGGCGGCACCUUGACGGUACCUAACCAGAAAGCCACGGCUAACUACGUGCCAGCAGCCGCGGUAAUACGUAGGUGGCAAGCGUUGUCCGGAAUUAUUGGGCGUAAAGGGCUCGCAGGCGGUUUCUUAAGUCUGAUGUGAAAGCCCCCGGCUCAACCGGGGAGGGUCAUUGGAAACUGGGGAACUUGAGUGCAGAAGAGGAGAGUGGAAUUCCACGUGUAGCGGUGAAAUGCGUAGAGAUGUGGAGGAACACCAGUGGCGAAGGCGACUCUCUGGUCUGUAACUGACGCUGAGGAGCGAAAGCGUGGGGAGCGAACAGGAUUAGAUACC
rnacentral:rRNA from 1 species